CAGGUGCGACCCACCACACCCGGCUGCAAUGUUUGUUUUAAUUACUUUUGGCAAGUAUUUCCUGAGUACCCCGAGCGUGCCAGGUGAAGAGAGACGGAUAAUAACAGCGCUAGCCAGCACGUAUUAAGCCUUGCAAAGCUGCACGGGCAUGAACUUGUGGCUUCAACACAACCUUAUGAGGUUCUGGUGUGAUGUUUAGUGAGAAACAUUCCUCUUUAUGACUCAGUGACUCAAUAUCCCAACAGAUGGGUUCAGGAAGGCUCCAGCAGCUAAAGCCAACUCCGAGGUCGAAACCUGGAUAGCCAAGGAGGAGAUGAAAGACAUAAACCCUUGGGAAGGGAGAGGAGAGAGCUCGUUUUCUGUUUGUUGGAAUGCUAAAUAUCUAAGAAGUAAUGGGAUGAUUUAGGAUAAUAAUUAUUAUCCUAAGACAACUUAGGAGACUGGCACACGGAAGAGGAUAGUAAAUAUUUAUUGAAUGAAAUAUUCAUUGAUUAUUAUUUCAGAGGUAUUCAGCUGCAAGAACAAUCCCAAACUAUGAGUGAAAAACACAGAUUCUCGGGCGGGCACAGUGCCUCACGCCUGUAAUCCCAGCACUUUGGGAGGCCAAAGUGGGUGGGUCACUUGAGGUCAAGAGUUCGAGACCAGCCUGGCCAACAUGGUGAAACCCUGUCUCUGCUAAAAAUACAAAAUUAGCCAGGUGUGGUGGCACAGGCCUGUAAUCCCAGAUACUCAGGAGGCUGAAGCAGGAGAAUCGCUUGAACCCAGGAGGCAGAGGUUGCAGUGAGCCGAGAUUGUGCCACUAUACUCCAGCGUGGGUGACAAAAGGGGCAAGAAAACUGAAGCUGGACGCUGGCCUCCAGUCCUGUCUUUGCCAUUAGCAGCCCUGGGAUCUUAGUGCCUUCACCAG
rnacentral:lncRNA from 10 species